rnacentral:lncRNA from 1 species
AAAAAGAUGCAAAUUUUGCAUAAUACGAGAAAAGCUUGAUUUGUAGUUCUGAUGUAUCCGUUUAUAUAAAAUUAGAAUCAUAAACCAAAAAAAAACAAUGAAAUAAAGUAUGACAAAACAGAAUAAGUUCUUCAAAACCUCUUUGGGCUAUAAAUUUAGAUGAAAUCAUUUGCCAAUCUGUAAACUGAGGUAACACAGACGCAAAAAGAAAAAUCAAUUGGAGAAGAUGUUUACCUAUCGGGAUAGGGUAAAAAAGGGUGAACCGAAGUUAUUAGAUACUCCACGUAAUUAUGAGGCCAGUCCCAAAAACGCCAAGGUUCCAAUCUCUCCCUCCACUGAACAGCUACGUUCUCAUGCUUUCCUGAAGCCCAAGAAUCUGGUUAGUACUCUUAUUUCUCUAAAAAGAAUUAGCUUACUAAUUUUGUUAUCUAUUUCGGAGAAACACGUCGACGAUAUCUUUAUAUAAACAAAUUUGCAAAACAAAGUGUAUUUCUAGUUUCAUAUUUAAAAUUUCAGAUUUUAUUUAUAUUCCACUUAAACUGAAAUUAUUAAGUGCUUCUAGUAGAGUUUUCCUAAAGGUACAACCCUAAUUUUGUUUUUAUCUUAACUAAUUCACAUUUUAAACAAUCUCCUCCAACCAAACCUCUUGGUUUGGAUGAUAAUUGAGAAUUUAUUUUUAUUAUUUUCUGCUAGAUGAAUGGUACGUCCGUAUAUUUUUAAUUAUAUGUAAAUACAACACAUAAGAUAUAGACUGAUCAAACUAGACUAGCAAUAUCCAAAUGGUGAUUUAUUUUAAUAGGAAUUGAAAAUGAGACCACUGAUGAUGUUAAAAUUAAUUUGGACCACUAAUCCAUUUGUUGUGGUGAUAUUCAUUUAGAACAACGGACAUAUCAAAUCUUGGAUGGACGAGAAAAACAGCAAUUUCAUGCUCUCUCCAAGGAACCUCUCGAUCACUUGGUCGGAUGACCCCAAUUAUUGGACGUGGUUUCUCAACAAGGAGUCACCAAAGUAAGAUACGUUUAAUCUAAAAACGCCCACUAUAUAUAGUUCGGUCGCAUGAUCAGUGCUUUUGUUAGAGGCAAUAUUCAAGAUUAAACUCGAAUUAUUGAUUGUAUCGUAAACCCUAUGUUAUUAUUGUUAUAGACCAUUCAAGUAUGUCUACACUAUUAAGAAGACUUUUUGUUAAAACUAAGGUUUUUGUUUUACAAAAUUACCACAAAAAUCAUUAUAUUACAAACAAAUCCACAAUUAUUAGGUUUAAUUAGCACGUUUACAAAGACAAGUUAAAUGAUUCCUGAACUAUCACUUUUGUGACAAAUUUAGGAACUUUCUAAGCCUAAGGUUUGUGGUGUAUACGGAUUUCUUUACCAAUAUCGUGGUUUCUUGUAGUUAAAACUUGUAUGUAUGGUAUUUUGUUAUAUAUCUAACACAAACCGCGCGUGAUUUGUUUUCUUUAAUGAAUUUUAAAAGCGAGGUAGGUGUAGAAGCUGUGGCGUUGAAAAACGUGUGUUGGCUUGACAUCACGGGAAAAUUCGACACGAAGAAUCUCACUCCAGGGAUUACGUACGAGGUAGUCUUUAAGGUGAAGCUAGAGGAUCCGGCCUAUGGAUGGGACGCGCCGGUGAACAUUAAGUUAGUCUUGCCUAACGGUAAAGAUAAACCGCAGGAGCAAAAGGUGAGUUUAAGGGAAAUACCAAGGUAUCAAUGGGUCGAUAUUAUAGUCGGAGAGUUCAAGCCGGAGAAAAAUUCCGCGGGAGAAAUCGUUUUCUCAAUGUAUGAGCAUGAAAGUGGCGUUUGGAAGAAAGGGCUCUUCCUCAAAGGUGUUGAAAUUUGCCCCAAAUAUACAAAUUAAUCUUGGAAUAUAAAUUUCCAAAUGCACACUGAACCUUUAUAUAUAUAUAUAUAUAUAUAUAUAUAUAUUCCACAUCAUGACAUGUCUAUAUGGAAAGAAUGUGUGCAUAUAUAUUAUAAGGUUGAUCUAUCGUAUUAUUACUUUAGAUACCUACUUUGAUGUUGGUAUUGAAUAAAAGCAAAAACCGAGAGUUGGUGUUGUAAUGUUUUAAGUUUGAAUUCGAGUUUUAUGAUUUGAGUGUAUGUAUGUAAUAAAUAAUCCGAUCAAUGAACAUUUGUUAUGUAUGAGACCAUAAGAUCAGAGUAAUAAUCCGCCUUAUGUAUCGAUCAAAAUGCAAUAAAAUAAAAUAAUACCUAAACAGAUUUGUUAAUUUUGAAUUUGAUUGGUACAUCAGAUGGAUCAUGAAUAGUAUAAUGUAGGUUCUAACUUCUAAUUGAAUAAUUCAGAAGUGAAUAUAUUUAAGUUGAACGGAUGUACCGCUAAAUAAUCAUGAAACACCAGAAGAAAUUUCAGUAGAUUAAUGAUACUUUUUAUUAAUGUAUUUAACAUGUUUAAAGUAUAUAGCACAACAGUAGCAUAAUCAUUUCUAACAACGUAAAAAUUGAUGAGUUCUUGAAUGAAUAAAAUAAUAAUGGGCUACCGUUUCAACACGUGAAAAAUGAUAUACCGUUAAUCAUGUUGAUAUUUUGUACUAAUAAAUUGAAGUGAUGACAGGUUUAAAUGGAAAUAUUAAACAUUAAGUCUCAUAAGAAUUUAUCUUGACCUUAUAUACACUUAUAGAGAUAUUUUCUAUUUUAGAUAGAUGCGAAUUAUUUACGAGAUCUUUAUGAUGUAUUUUGAAUAAUUCUAAUCAUAUUAUUAUAAUAAAUAGAUUGAAAACUAACCAGACUGAAUAAUAUUGAUUGGUGAUUGAGUGGGGAUGAGUGUUGAGUCAGUCGUUUCUCUAUUUAAGUGUGCCAUGGUGCACUGGCUCACCUUUUCUGAAGAAUUAUUCGGAAUUUAAUUUUCGUGGUAAUAAUCGAAGAAUAAAGCAAAUCUAUCGAAUGAAAAGAAUAAAGAAUACAUGUUUGACAAGACAUCAAAGAAAUGGAAUAUAUACCAGCAACUGCAGCCAGCCAAAAUUUGGUUUGCGAUGUAAAACAUUGUUUAGUUUAUAUUUACUUAACUUUCGAACAAUAUUUAUUAAAUUAUAUAUAACAUACCUUGAUCAGGUUUAGUACAAGUGUAACAUAAGUCUAGAGAGUUCAACUAUUGCUGGAUUUUUGAAAUACUAAUAUACAAACAUGGUAUCAUUGAGGUCAGGUAUAUGAGUCUAUAAAGACCUCAGCAUAAUAGUUAUUAAGAACAAAAAUGAACUUAAAAACUAGAAGAAAACAUAUACAAAAGGAAAAAAAAAUCAAGAAAGAGCGAGAUUAAGCAAUGGGAACAAUAUCGUCAAUCUUCUCAAAGCCAAAACCACCACAUAACUACGAAGCGAUUCUAAAAUAUUCAGACUCUGCUCUUCCUCCUGAUGCUACGUCGUCUCUUGACAAGUUAUACCCUCAGCUAUUCGAUGGCGUUUUCUUGAAGGACAAGAAACAGGUCUUUAACUUGUUGUUGUUGAACUUCCUAUUAUUUUUCGGGUGAAUUGGUGAAAUAACCAAAAGAAAAACUAAAAUUAAUUUGUUAGAGAGAGAUAGGAAGAGAAAAAAAUAGAGAGAAUGGGGAUUUGAUUAUUUUGUGAAUUAUUGUUUUUUUGUUGGUUAUAAGGUGCAAUUUCCCUUAUUUUUCUUGGUUUGAUUCAAUAAAGAGAAACACCAACUAAAAGACUAUAAAAUUUUAUAUAUAUGUUAGUGCAGAUUAAUUAGAUUUUAUUGAUGAUGGAAUUUGAUAUUCAGAAGUACUGGAUAGAGGGUAAAGCUAAGAAGAACUGCUUCAUGUUGUACGCGAGAGAUCUAGCGAUUUCAUUGGCUGAGUUUCAAACAAAUAAUAACUGGAGUUGGUUUACUGAUAUAGACCAAACAUCCAGGUUCGAAAUGUUUGAUUAAAACAAUUGUGUAUUUUCAAGUUUUCAUUUAAAUAUGUAUAUUUGUUUACAGUGAUGCAAGAAUUGAGGUUGCAAAGCUGGAAUGGGUAGCUUGGUUAGAAGUGUUUGGAAACUUUGAGAUGGAGAAUCUAACUCCCAACAGUUUGUACGAGGUUGUGUUUGUGGUUAAGCUGGUUGAUCCUGCGCAGGGAUGGGAAGUUCCGGUUUACUUCAAACUGGUUUUACCGACAGGAGAAACCAAAGAGCGGCAAGAGAAUAUGACUAUGUUAGGAAGAAACCGGUGGGUGGAGAUUCUGGCCGGUGAGUUCAGGACAUCGCCGGAAUAUAUUUUCGGGAAGAUUGAGUUUUCGAUGUAUGAGGUUAAAGGUGGGUUGUGGAAGUCCGGUCUGGUUGUGAAAGGUGUUGCUAUAAGACCCAAGAAUUAAAAUAUUAAAUCUUGUAAGCUAAAACAAUAAAAUUGAAUACGAAAGUCACUAUGAUCUAACCAAUGGUGGUAGUCCAGUGACGCUUGAGGGACUAAGCCUAAUACGGCGAACCCUGGUUUGAAUUCCACUAGCUACACGGAUAUGGGCUAUUGGUUUCGGCUCAUUUGAAUGCCCAAGAGAGGAUCUAUCCAUGGGUUGUAUCUCCAUCCGGAGGUUAAAUCUGUGUCUUUAAUAGAUCCGGGUUUAACCCUUUUUUAUCAAAAAAAAAAGUCACUAUGAUCUAUGUACAUCAUAUAAAUGAUAUGUUUACGAAGUCGAAGCAAUGGCUUAGACAAUAGCAGCAAUAAAUUGCUGGAAAGAAUAUAUGAUUGUAAAGCGCAUCAUCAUACCAUUAAACCUCUCAUGUCCAUACUGCGUCUUUUAGUUGCAAGCUUUUUUUUUUUUUGGCAUCAAAAACAAUCAUUCAUAAGAUCUUACUCUGGUCUGUUUAGAUCGGCUGCUAAGGCCAGUCUAGAGUGAACCAGAACGUCUACAACGGUAAAGCAGCGACCUCGUGAUCAUCCACCCUUAGCCAGGGAGUCCGCACGGAUAUUGUUAUCAUGGGGCACAUACGAAAAAUCAACAUCAUGGAAACAAGUUGAUAAGAAUUUUAUAUCAUCUAAGUCCGGUGCUAAGGCUGGCCAAUCAUAUAAUCGUAUAAAUGAUAUGUUUACGAAGUCCAAGCAACGGCUUAGACAAUAGCAGCAAUAAAUUGCUGGAAAGAAUAUAUGAUUGUAAAGCGCAUCGUCAUACCACUAAACCUCUCAUGUCCAUACUGCGUCUUUCAGUUGCAAGCUUAGCACAUCAAAUAAUCAUAUUCUUGGGUUGAACCAAUAACACACAUUUUCCUACCAAAACUGCAAUAUUUCACCAUAAUUUACCAUUCUAAUCAGUGUUUGCUCAAUCACAAGGGCGAAAGUGUGACCGUUCUGGCCUUCUGGGUCUCAUGAUAUUAAAGAUCCAAUUUUAAGAAAAAAAAAUUGUUUUUUCAAAGAAAAAAUUAAAUUUUGUUAAGAACAAAAUAAAUUUACAUGUAUUUUUUUAUAUAUGUUUUUAUAUCUUAACAUUUCAAAUAAUAUAAUUUUUAGAAAAUCAUAAUAAAAUCAUAUUUUUAAUUAUUAAGGAGUCUAAAUUCAUUUUUGUCGAAGGAUCCCCAUAAACGGGAAAUUUGCUAUGAGCUGGCCUAUUCUAAUAAAACCAUAAUUCUUUGAUAACUAUAUGCUAUUCUUCUAAACACUACAAAACUCUCUGCGAUGAUCUUUAAUUAUGAGUACCAUUCGGGCCUUCUGUACGAUCCAGAAAAGUAAGUAGCAUUAUCUUACUCUAUCUACCAUGCAAGAAGAAUCCGAUUCCACACUGAGACCAUAAGAUUCCUAGUGCGAUUCCUAUGGGUUUCUACGUGAACUAAAGCAGGAAGUGCACCUUCUUUCUUGGAGUUAGUGUUGGGGUUCGAGCUGGUCCACAGGCUAAGAGUAAACCAACGUGGCUUAGAGGUAUCAGAUAGAUGACCCGUGACGAAAGUUCACUCGAAGACUACGACAUGUUAGCGGAGAGGAAAAAAUUUGAUGCCCACUUAACCCCUUCUCCAUUAGGGAUGUCAAGUGUUAUUUUAUUUUUUUUUUUGAACACAAAUUACUUUCAUUCAAACUCAACUCUUUCGGUUACAAUAAAAAGAGGGAAUGGACCAUCCUCUUUGAUUCAAAAGAUAAAAUACAAUAACACAAGUAGAUAAACAAGAUAGUUCUUCAUGAGAAGAUGACAGCGAAUUCAAGACGAAACUCGAAUGCGUCGAUAAAGCUUUCACAACAAAGUCGGACAGCUGAGAAAUAGUCACAUAAAGAGGUGACGUUAGCACCCAAUCUGCACCUCGGAAUAUCGUCGAAACGAAAUCCGUUGCAUCUUCAGGCCCCGAACGAGCCGCUACACAAGAUAGCAAAACGGUUAUAGAUAUGGAUGAACACUUCCAUUUAAUGUUUGGAAGGGAAACACUCCUUAACAAGGAGGUAGUGGAUGAAAAGGUUCGCUUCUCCAAGCAGAAGUAUGCUAGUGGUGAUGAAGGCGAUCCCGGUGAACCCAUCGGUGACUGAGCAAACAUUAAACUCUUCAUAUAAGAGAGAUAAGGCGAUCCCGCUUCUCGUCGGUAUAAUGAAAGUACGGCGGAGGAAGUACGGCGACGGGUAAGUAGAUAGGAUAGAAACGGUGAGGGCCGGGCCAUCGGCUCAGGCCUCCGUCCAACAGAUGGUGAGAUGAGACGCGGAGGAGGGAAAACGCCAAAUCUUUUCUUAAACCGCCGAGGACUGAGAAACUUCGGUGAUACGAAGAGCUCAGGCGGUGGAGAUGACGACGGAUCUUGCAGACGAGGCGCAACUCCGGAUGGAUGCUUGGUGUCGACCCCGACAAGGGGUGGAUAUUCGUCGAGCGAGAGGUAAGCGUAGUAGCAAACCAAUGUUGAUGAAGAACGGCGACUGUAACCGGCGAGAGACUCGACGGGUUGGGGAACCCCCCAGAACAUAUCAGAUCCGGUGGAACCAGAUCUGUAAAGAGACAGACAAGAGCUUUGACUCGAACCGAACAGCUUUCUCCGAAGAGGAACGUUGGUGUGAGCAGAGACGUUGUCAGAAACGGAGCACCAGGUCGGAGAACUGGCAUACACGGUGGAAACAAACUGUAGACAGGGAAAUGAUUUACGAGAGUUAAUUUCUUGUCAUAAAUUUAAAUUAUUUAUAAAAAUAAUUAUCUUUUAAAUGUAAAUUUGAAAAAUGGUAUAUAACUUGUUGUAACAUUUUCCUUAAUGUUUUAGUUACCAAACAAAAAAGAUGCAAAUUUUGCAUAAUACGAGAAAAGCUUGAUUUGUAGUUCUGAUGUAUCCGUUUAUAUAAAAUUAGAAUCAUAAACCAAAAAAAAACAAUGAAAUAAAGUAUGACAAAACAGAAUAAGUUCUUCAAAACCUCUUUGGGCUAUAAAUUUAGAUGAAAUCAUUUGCCAAUCUGUAAACUGAGGUAACACAGACGCAAAAAGAAAAAUCAAUUGGAGAAGAUGUUUACCUAUCGGGAUAGGGUAAAAAAGGGUGAACCGAAGUUAUUAGAUACUCCACGUAAUUAUGAGGCCAGUCCCAAAAACGCCAAGGUUCCAAUCUCUCCCUCCACUGAACAGCUACGUUCUCAUGCUUUCCUGAAGCCCAAGAAUCUGGUUAGUACUCUUAUUUCUCUAAAAAGAAUUAGCUUACUAAUUUUGUUAUCUAUUUCGGAGAAACACGUCGACGAUAUCUUUAUAUAAACAAAUUUGCAAAACAAAGUGUAUUUCUAGUUUCAUAUUUAAAAUUUCAGAUUUUAUUUAUAUUCCACUUAAACUGAAAUUAUUAAGUGCUUCUAGUAGAGUUUUCCUAAAGGUACAACCCUAAUUUUGUUUUUAUCUUAACUAAUUCACAUUUUAAACAAUCUCCUCCAACCAAACCUCUUGGUUUGGAUGAUAAUUGAGAAUUUAUUUUUAUUAUUUUCUGCUAGAUGAAUGGUACGUCCGUAUAUUUUUAAUUAUAUGUAAAUACAACACAUAAGAUAUAGACUGAUCAAACUAGACUAGCAAUAUCCAAAUGGUGAUUUAUUUUAAUAGGAAUUGAAAAUGAGACCACUGAUGAUGUUAAAAUUAAUUUGGACCACUAAUCCAUUUGUUGUGGUGAUAUUCAUUUAGAACAACGGACAUAUCAAAUCUUGGAUGGACGAGAAAAACAGCAAUUUCAUGCUCUCUCCAAGGAACCUCUCGAUCACUUGGUCGGAUGACCCCAACUAUUGGACAUGGUUUCCCAGCAAGGAGUCACCAAAGUAAGAUAUGUUAAUUAGAACCAUUGAAGAUUAAACUCGAAAUAUUGAUUGUAUCGUUGACCCUAUGUUAUAGACCCUUCAAGUAUGUCUACACUGUUAAGAAUAUUUUUGUUAAAACCAAGGUUUUUGUUUAAUUUACAAAAUUACCACAAAAAAUCAUUAUUUUUAUUUAUUUUUGGUCAACCACAAAAAUCAUUAUAUUCCAAACAAAUCCACAAUUAUUAGGUUGGCACGUUUACAAAGACAAGUUAAAUGAUUCCUGAACUAUCACUUUUGUGACAAAUUUAGGAACUUUCUAAGCCUAAGGUUUGUGGUGUAUACGGAUUUCUUUACCAAUAUCGUGGUUUCUUGUAGUUAAAACUUGUAUGUAUGGUAUUUUGUUAUAUAUCUAACACAAACCGCGCGUGAUUUGUUUUCUUUAAUGAAUUUUAAAAGCGAGGUAGGUGUAGAAGCUGUGGCGUUGAAAAACGUGUGUUGGCUUGACAUCACGGGAAAAUUCGACACGAAGAAUCUCACUCCAGGGAUUACGUACGAGGUAGUCUUUAAGGUGAAGCUAGAGGAUCCGGCCUAUGGAUGGGACGCGCCGGUGAACAUUAAGUUAGUCUUGCCUAACGGUAAAGAUAAACCGCAGGAGCAAAAGGUGAGUUUAAGGGAAAUACCAAGGUAUCAAUGGGUCGAUAUUAUAGUCGGAGAGUUCAAGCCGGAGAAAAAUUCCGCGGGAGAAAUCGUUUUCUCAAUGUAUGAGCAUGAAAGUGGCGUUUGGAAGAAAGGGCUCUUCCUCAAA